CAAAUCCCUAACAAUUUGUGGGAGUUUAAUUCAGACUUUAUGGAGAUACCUCAUCCCGAUGGCAAAUGAGAGACUGCCUCAGCCCCUGAGUGUCAGACUGCUACUUUGGUCUCCAUGAGCUCCAGGGAAGUGUUUGCCUGCAAAGCACAUUCAGCUCUAAUUCAGAUAAAGCUGAUGGAGUUAUGGAAGCUACCUGUCUUCUGCUGCUCUGCUGCUGAUCCAUCGUCUCAGUUGCCAUAGAGACAAGUUCUGGAAGCCAUGGACGAGCAUGGGAGAGAAGCCACCCACAGGCUCUCCACUGGUGGGCUCUGGCAG
rnacentral:lncRNA from 1 species